rnacentral:tRNA from 2 species
GCGGGGGUUCCCGAGUGGUCAAAGAGGUCAGACUUAGGCUCUGAUGCUUAGCGCUCCGAGGGUUCGAAUCCCUCCCCCCGCA